CAGCCGCCGCGGUAAUACGUAGGGCGCAAGCGUUGUCCGGAAUUAUUGGGCGUAAAGAGCUCGUAGGCGGUCUGUCGCGUCUGGUGUGAAAUCCCGAGGCUCAACCUCGGGCUUGCAUCGGGUACGGGCAGACUAGAGUGCGGUAGGGGAGACUGGAAUUCCUGGUGUAGCGGUGGAAUGCGCAGAUAUCAGGAGGAACACCGAUGGCGAAGGCAGGUCUCUGGGCCGCAACUGACGCUGAGGAGCGAAAGCAUGGGGAGCGAACAGGAUUAGAUACCCGCGUAGUCCCUGUCUCUUAUAA
rnacentral:rRNA from 1 species